rnacentral:rRNA from 1 species
CAAUCGAACUCGGAGAUAGCUGGUUCUCCCCGAAAUAGCUUUAGGGCUAGCGUUGAUUUAGAUUACCGGAGGUAAAGCACUGAAUGGGCUAGGGGGCGAUAAGCUUACUGAACCCUAUCAAACUCUGAAUGCCGGCUAAUUGAUGAUCAGCAGUCAGACAGUGUGAGAUAAGUUUCAUUGUCAAAAGGGAAACAGCCCAGACCUACAGCUAAGGUCCCAAAUGUAUGCUAAGUGGAAAACGAUGUGGAGUUGCGAAAACAACCAGGAUGUUGGCUUAGAAGCAGCCACUCAUUUAAAGAGUGCGUAAUAGCUCACUGGUCGAGUGAUCCUGCGCCGAAAAUUUCCGGGGCUAAAACGUACUACCGAAGCUACGGCAUCAUUUAUGAUGGGUAGGGGAGCUUCGUAUGCAGGCUGAAGCAUGACCGUAAGGACAUGUGGACAGUAUACGAGUGAGAAUGUUGGCAUGAGUAGCGAGACGUGGGUGAGAAUCCCACGGGCCGUAAACCCAAGGUUUCCAGGGGAAGGUUCGUCCGCCCUGGGUUAGUCGGGACCUAAGCCGAGGCCGAAAGGCGUAGGUGAUGGACAACAGGUUGAUAUUCCUGUACCGCCAAUAAGCGUUUGAGAGAUGGAGUGACACAGUAGGAUAAGCUAACCGUACUGUUGGUUAUGUACGGCUAAGCAUUGAGGCAGUCUAAAUAGGCAAAUCCGUUUAGACAAUGCUAGGAUGUGAUGGGGAAGCCCUUCGGGGCGAAGUAGCUGAUUUCACACUGUCAAGAAAAGCUUCUAUCGAGUUUAAAGGCGCCCGUACCGUAAACCGACACAGGUGGGUGAGGAGAGUAUCCUAAGGCCAGCGAGAGAACUAUUGUUAAGGAACUCGGCAAAAUGACCCCGUAACUUAGGGAGAAGGGGUGCCUGUCUAUGACAGGCCGCAGAGAAUAGGCCCAAGCGACUGUUUACCAAAAACACAGGUUUCUGCUAAGUCGCAAGACGAUGUAUAGGAGCUGACGCCUGCCCGGUGCUGGAAGGUUAAGGGGAUCUGUUAGAGCAAUCGAAGCAGUGAACUUAAGCCCCAGUAAACGGCGGCCGUAACUAUAACGGUCCUAAGGUAGCGAAAUUCCUUGUCGGGUAAGUUCCGACCCGCACGAAAGGCGUAACGAUUUGGGCACUGUCUCAACAAUAGACUCGGUGAAAUUGUAAUCCCGGUGAAGAUGCCGGGUACCUGCGACAGGACGGAAAGACCCCAUGGAGCUUUACUGUAGCUUGACGUUGGGUCUUGGUACUACAUGUACAGGAUAGGUGGGAGACUAUGAAGCAUGGACGCCAGUCUGUGUGGAGUCAUCCUUGGGAUACCACCCUUGUAGUACUGGGAUCCUAACCAUAGGCCUUGAAUCAGGUCUUGGAACACCGUCAGGUGGGCAGUUUGACUGGGGCGGUCGCCUCCUAAAAAGUAACGGAGGCGCUCAAAGGUUUCCUCAGCACGGUCGGAAAUCGUGCGAAGAGUGUAAAGGCAAAAGGAAGCUUGAUUGCAAGACAUACAGGUCGAGCAAGGACGAAAGUCGGACUUAGUGAUCCGGUGGUACCGCAUGGAAGGGCCAUCGCUCAACGGAUAAAAGCUACCCUGGGGAUAACAGGCUUAUCUCCCCCAAGAGUCCACAUCGACGGGGAGGUUUGGCACCUCGAUGUCGGCUCGUCGCAUCCUGGGGCUGGAGUAGGUCCCAAGGGUUU